ensembl:lncRNA
ACAUUUUACAUGUGUAUAAUUUAUUAUAUAAAUACAAAACAUUUUCAAUAACAGGAACUUGUGCAAAACACUGUUUAAUAGCGCAUAGAUACAUACACACACACAUAUAUAUAUAUAUAUAUAUAUGUUUAUGUUUAUAUAUACACACAUAUAAUGGGGUAUGAUAUGCCUUUAACCCUUGAAGAGCAACUAGAGAAAAAAGAAAUAAGAUCAUCGUCAGAUCAAAAGACUCCUUACAAUAUAAAUAAACAUGUCAUAUUAACCAUUUACUUUUUGUUAAUAGUAUUAACAAAUCGUUUGUUUUUCGGUUGGUCCAGUUUAUCUAAUUUAUUAUUUCGUGAUAAAGCGUAUGAAUGGCUGUGUACAAUAACAGAAAUUCAAGAGCAACAAAACAAUAAGCAACGAUAUACAUGUUCAGUGCAAAAUGAUGCAGUACAACGAAUUUUUGUGUAUGGAUCAAUGGCAUAUUUUACAUGUUCUUUUUUAAAUGGUUUAAUUGUUGAUUAUUUUGGGUCACGAAUUAGUAUGUUGAUAGGACAUAGUUUAAAUUUAUUAGGAUGGGUACUUUUAUUACUAUCAACUAAAGAUUUUGAUUGUUUUAUAAUUGCAGGAGUAUUGAUAGCAUCUAGUAUCGAUUUGGGCUCAUUUGCUACUUUAAAUGUUGCAGGUUUAUACCCAGGUAAUGAAAAUUUAAUUGUUAAUAUUAUAUCUGGUGCUGGAUCCUUAUCUACUGGUACUAUGGUAGUAUUGGAUUUAAUAGUAAAACAUUGGGAAUUCUCAUUUAAAACUUUUAUGUUAAUUUAUAUAAGUGUAACUGUUGGAAUUUUUUUUAUUUUAACCUUAUUUACAUUUCCUAAAACAAGAUAUUUUAGGCAGUACGAAUUUGAUGAUUAUUAUGAAAAUGAGAAUGGAGCGCUAAAAGAUAUGAACAACAUUCAGGAGAUUAAAUCCAAUUUAAGCAUUUCUAAAACAUUAAGUUAUACAAAAAAUGUUAAUAAAUCUAUGAGUUAUGAAAUGAAUAAAAUCAAUAAAUCAUAUUCAAAAGACUUAGAAAUAAAUGAUAACAAAAAAAUAAAUGAGUAUAAUGAAAAUUAUGAUAAAAGUAAAAAGAAUAAAUUUAUACUUUUUUUUCAAUCAAAUACUUUUAAAGAUUUAUGUAAAAUAUGUUUUUGUGCACAUUUUUUAUGUUUACUCAUAUAUGGACCACUAAAUGCAAUAUACAAUACUUUUUAUUACAAUAUAGUUGAAAAUUUGCUAUCAAAAGAAAAAAACGAUUUAUUCGGUUAUUUGUUGCCAUUUUCUUUUAUUCCAUGUGUAUUAUUAGGAAAUAUAACAGAUAAAUUUGGUGUAAUGCUUAUGCUUUCCUAUGAAUUAUUUUUUGCUGCAUCUAUGUAUUUAUGUAGUUAUAUCAAAAAUGAAUUUUUUCAAUGGAUGUCUGUUAUAUCGAGCAUGUUAUACGCUGCAUGUGCAAAUGGACAGUUAUGGACAUUUGUUUCUUACACAUUUUGUUCAAAAUAUCAUUCUACUCUAAUUGGUUUGUUAAAUUUAGUUAGUGGUGUAGCAUCCUUAACUCGUAAUCUAUUCUUGAAGUGGGCAACAUAUACAAACCAAGAUUUUACAUAUAUUAACAUGGUUAUUUUAAGUUUAAUUGGAAUUAAUGUUGUUGUAACGAUUGCACUUGGCAUUAUCAGAAAAACAAAGGGAUGUAAGGUUAACUACGGUGAUGAAAGUGAAUCCGAAAGGUAAAUACAAAUGCCUAUUUCCAUACGUGUGUUUUGUGGACUCAUGUUUAUACACACUUGUAGAUAUAAGCAUAUAUAUGCAAAUAUAAAAAAGUUGGUUUGACUGACGUUUAUACAUCAUACGAUUCAGCAUUUAUAUAUAUAUAUAUAUAUAU